rnacentral:lncRNA from 1 species
CCACCUUCUCCACCUGAGCCGGUAGCACUGUGGUUGGAAUGGUUCCAGCUGGUAACACUCUGGUCUGUUCAGCACCAUCCUGCCCCACUGCUCCAGACGCUCCAGUUGCCUCCUUUCCUUUCCGAGAUUUAUACAUUCUUGUACCCUUAGGAGUUGCAAACACAAACAAAAGGUUAGUCCACAACUGAACACACAAACCUCAAUCACUCGUAAGUUAAUCAGUAGAAAAGAUUACUUAGAACCCAACUAUCUCACCAUGAGUCCAAACGGCCAAGUGUGUGGUGAACCAAUAACCCAACAAAUCCUAGAAUCAAGAAUGCUCUGAUACAAACUUGUAAGACCCGAUCCUGGAUUCCCCAAUCCAACCAGACCGCGGCCUCACCAAACAAUGCAAUCAGUUUCAUUUUCAUAUUCAAGUUCAAGUGUUAAAUAAUUCUAAGUCUUUUUCAGAGUUUUGAGGUUCUCAACAUUCACACUUAAACAUUCCAACAUCAACUAGGGCAAAUAGAUAUUUCAUAGAUAAUAACCAAGGUUC